rnacentral:rRNA from 1 species
CCUACGGGUGGCAGCAGUGAGGAAUAUUGGUCAAUGGCCGUAAGGCUGAACCAGCCAAGUAGCGUGAGGGAAGACUGCCCUAUGGGUUGUAAACCUCUUUUAUGCGGGGAUAAAGGUGUCCACGUGUGGAUGUUUGCAGGUACCGCAUGAAUAAGGAUCGGCUAACUCCGUGCCAGCAGCCGCGGUAAUACGUAGGAGGCAAGCGUUAUCCGGAAUGACUGGGCGUAAAGGGUGCGUAGGUGGUUUGACAAGUUGGUAGCGUAACUCCGGGGCUCAACCUCGGCACUACUACCAAAACUGUCGGACUUGAGUGCAGGAGGGGCAAAUGGAAUUCCUAGUGUAGCGGUGGAAUGCGUAGAUAUUAGGAGGAACACCAGUGGCGAAGGCGAUUUGCUGGACUGUAACUGACACUGAGGCACGAAAGCGUGGGGAGCAAACAGGAUUAGAUACCCGAGUAGUC